GCACUGCUGAGGAGUCCCACAAUAGGACGAACUGGCCGUCCAGUGC
rfam:Schistosoma mansoni, Puerto Rico, WGS project CABG01000000 data, contig: 0263